CUGAGCGGCGCUGCUGACAGCGGGGCUGGGUGGGGCCUUUUUCUCUGCAGCCGCCGCGGCGGCGAUGCUCCGCUCUCCGCGCAGAUGAUGGCUAGGGGGCGGCUGCUCCUCCAGCCGCGGCCGUGAGAUCCGCAGCGGCGCCAGCCGGGGAGAGACGCGGGUGUGCGGGGAGAGGCCAGGCUGUCUGGGAGGGGAAGAGGUUGAGGCGUCGCCAUGGCUUGGCCCUGCAUCACCCGGGCGUGCUGCAUCGCCCGCUUCUGGAACCAGCUGGACAAGGCGGACAUCGCGGUCCCUUUGGUCUUCACCAAAUACUCCGAGGCCACUGAGAACCCCACGGCCCAGGUGGGUUUGCAGCAGCAGCAGCCACGCCCUUCCUCUGCCAUCGAGACCCAGCCCUCCAUCCUUGGCAGCGACCUGGAUGCAGUUGCCAAGGCGACUGCGGCAGGGGGGGACCACAAGGCAGGGCCGGGGCAGCAGCCUCUGGCCGACUCGGUGAUGCGCCAGGACUACAAGCACUGGAAGGCGCAGCGGCCGGAGCCCAGCUGCAAACCCAAGAGCGAGUACCAGCCCUCGGAAACCCCCUUUGAGAAGGAGAGUCAGUACCAGAAGGAUUUCCGAGCUUGGCCCAUCCCCAAGAGAGGGGACCACCCCUGGAUCCCCAAGCCAGCCCCGUCCCCUGGGCCAGCCCUGGACAAGGGCCCCCAGGAGAAACCUCCCAGCCAGGAGAAGAGGAGGAAGCUGCAGCCAGGGCAGGAGAAGAAGGAGGAGGAGGCAGAGCAAAGGGCAAAGGAGGAGCAGCCCAAGGUGGCCAGGGCUGAGGAAGGGCGGAAGAAGAGGGUCCAGGUGGUCGAGGAUGGGGGGCAGCAGCAGCCCGGGCUCUCGGCGUCCCAGGAGGCGGCCAAAGGGCGAGCAGCGGUGGAUGCCCUCAACAGGCAGAUCAGGGAGGAAUCAGCAGCCGGGGUGAGCAGCUCCUACAGAAAUGAAUUCAGACCUUGGGUAGAUGUCAACAGAGUCAAGCUUAUAAAAGCUAAGCCCCAGUACAAGCCCCCGGACGAGAAAGUGAGCCACGAAACCAGUUACAGCUCUCAAUUCAAGGGGGAGCCCAGCAAGCCUGUACAAGCUGAUAACAAAUUCAUCGAUCGCAGGAGGAUACGCAGCCUGUACAGUGAGCCCUUCCAAGAAUCUUCAAAGGUGGAGAAGCGUAGUGUUCAGCCUUCCAAACCAAAAAAGACAACGACGAGCCAUAAACUACUGAAAAAGGCCAAAGACAAGCAGAUUGCAUCUGGCCGGGCUGCCAAGAAAAAGAGUGCUGAGAGCUCCAGUGGGACAAAGCCAGAGGACAAGGAGAAAAAUCUCUUUCCCAAGCUGCCUGCAACCAGAGUUAUGAGCUGCUGCCUAGCAUCCAUCCCGUCCUUAGGGCACCGAUCUGUCACCUUGUCAUAGCACAUCAUUAAUUUCUGCUGCAAACUUGGCGAGACCCCAGUUUUGUUGGAUGAUACGUUGUCACAGACGGACCCUCGAUAAAGCCACCGGUGCUACAGACCAGGAACCAAGUACCUUAGCCCAGGACCCACCUACAUGAAGUGAAGCACUUCAUUCUGAGCGGCGGCUGGGACAAACACAGCGCCUGCAUGAAACAUGUAUCGUCCUAUGGCGUACAAUAAAAAUGGUGAACUGCUUGGACUGGGAUCUUCUGUUGCCCGUCAGGCACUGAAACGUUA